CGGUGAUUACUUGUUGAGGAACUCUGGACUUCCCCCCUCUUUCAAUGGGGGGUGGUUGCUAGUGUUGCAGUCCAUGACAAAGCAGGUGCAGAAAGGAAGCACUAUGGUGAGCAUGCUGCUGCAAAUCCAUUUUGUGACAUCAUUUGCUGAAAGGAAGAAAAAUGGGUGCACUGACAUCAUGGACUUAACAUUUAUCUUAUCUAUACAUUUAUACACUAUCUGAUAUGAUUCCAGACACAGAGACAUGAAGACUUCACACAUAUCCACACUAAAGAGCCAUUGACAAUUGCUCCAUGGAGACUUGAUCAACCUAAUGGAAACUCACCUCAAUGUGUAAAAUCUUAUUUAAGUUUGGAGUAUGACCAAAGCUGGUAUGAUUUUGUGUGUGAAAAUCCAGACCUCUCUUGGGCUGCUUGCACUGCUUGUAAGAUACCUUACACAUUUGAGUCAUCAGUGCUGAUUACUCUAAAAGGGCUUUGCUUGCAGACAAAGAUUGAUACAACGUACCAGGUACAUGUAUUCCUCUUUACCCUGCCCUAUACUAACCUUUCCUCCGCUCUGAAUACCAAUUGAAGAGGGGGCUCCGAGGUAGGUGUAUUCAUAAUUUUUUGUAUCGUUCGUUCUU